UUUAGGGGUUACAUUCUGUAGUAAUGGAAUGCCCUAUCUAGGUUUCCCGACGCCUCCAAAUGCUUCGUGCCGGAACAUUCUAUUUCGUGAGAAAAGGAUUCUUAACGUUAUCACAUGAAGAUAGCCAAGCUCUGUUUCUGAGAACUGGGAGGCCAGCGAAUAUAAACGAAGUAUUUCUCCAAUGGAAGUCAACCUUAGCUAACAAGUAUAGAAGACAUACAGUUGGCAAAGAUUUGGUUAUCUUGAUAACGAGACGUAGAGUCACAGCACCUAACGGGGAUGGGGGCUCUGGC